UACGUAGGGUGCAAGCGUUGUCCGGAAUUAUUGGGCGUAAAGAGCUUGUAGGCGGUUUGUCGCGUCUGCUGUGAAAUUUCGGGGCUCAACCCCGAACUUGCAGUGGGUACGGGCAGACUAGAGUGUGGUAGGGGAGACUGGAAUUCCUGGUGUAGCGGUGAAAUGCGCAGAGAUCAGCAGGAACACCCGUGGCGAAGGCGGCCCCCUGGGCCGUACCUGACGCUGAGGCGCGAAGGCUAGGGGAGCGAACGGG
rnacentral:rRNA from 1 species